rnacentral:sRNA from 3 species
UAACGUUGCGUCAGCAACGGCCCGAAGGGCGAGGCGAAGCCGAGUCAUCCUGCACGACCCACCA